GAUGAAGAACGUAGCGAAAUGCGAUAAGUAAUGUGAAUUGCAGAAUUCAGUGAAUCAUCGAAUCUUUGAACGCACAUUGCGCCCGCCAGUAUUCUGGCGGGCAUGCCUGUUCGAGCGUCAUUUCAACCAUCAAGCCCCAGGCUUGUGUUGGGGACCUGCGGCUGCCGCAGGCCCUGAAAACCAGUGGCGGGCUCGCUGUCACACCGGGCGUAGUAGAUUUUAUCUCGCUCAGGGCGUGCUGCGGGUUCCGGCCGUUAUAAAGCCUUUUUUACCCAAGGUUGACCUCGGAUCAGGUAGGAAGACCCGCUGAACUUAAGCAUAUCAAUAAGCGGAGGA
rnacentral:misc_RNA from 1 species